rnacentral:misc_RNA from 1 species
GCAAACUUGGUCAUUUAGAGGAAGUAAAAGUCGUAACAAGGUUUCCGUAGGUGAACCUGCGGAAGGAUCAUUACCGAGUUAGGGUUCCCUUCAUCUGGGGCCCGACCUCCCAACCCUGUGUCUUAAACAAACUUGUACGUGUUGCUUCGGUGGACCGGUCUCGCGGCCGCCGGGAGGGUCUCGCCCCCCUGGACAGCGUCCACCGACAGCCCAACCCCAAAACUCCACAAACAAACCAUGUGAAUUCUUCUGAAUCAAACUUUUUGUUUUGAUAAACCACAUCAAAAUUAAAACCAAAACUUUCAACAACGGAUCUCUUGGUUCUGGCAUCGAUGAAGAACGCAGC